AACGAACGCUGGCGGCAGGCCUAACACAUGCAAGUCGAGCGAGGACUUCGGUCCUAGCGGCGGACGGGUGAGUAACGCGUGGGAACGUGCCCUUUGCUUCGGAACAGCCCUGGGAAACUGGGAGGAAUACCGGAUGAGCCCUUUGGGGGAAAGACUUAGCGGCGAAGGAUCGGCCCGCGUUGGAUUAGGUAGUUGGUGGGGUAAUGGCCUACCAAGCCGACGAUCCAUAGCUGGUUUGAGAGGAUGAUCAGCCACACUGGGACUGAGACACGGCCCAGACUCCUACGGGAGGCAGCAGUGGGGAAUCUUAGACAAUGGGGGAAACCCUGAUCUAGCCAUGCCGCGUGAGCGAUGAAGGCCUUAGGGUUGUAAAGCUCUUUCAGCUGGGAAGAUAAUGACGGUACCAGCAGAAGAAGCGCCGGCUAACUCCGUG
rnacentral:rRNA from 1 species